rnacentral:pre_miRNA from 1 species
GAUAUCAACUGAAAAAGUCAUCAACAACACGGUUGAAUAACUCAUCAAGAUCUAAAACUUUUAUUUUGGUCAUUUCUUCAUACGACAAAGUGAUAGUAACAUUGUUCACAAAAUUGACAUAUCUCUUAUCUGGUUUUAUAAACUAUAACACAUAUAUGUAAAAUUUGUGAAUAAUAUUACUAACAUUUCGUCAGAUGAAGAAAUAAAAAAAAUAAAAGUUUUAGAUCUUGAUGAGUUAUUCAACUUUGUUGUUGAUGACUUUUNNNNNNNNNNNN